UUCAGAUGCCACUUUGUUUAGUUUUAUUUUAAAUAUUCUUUAGGGGUAAUUUUGACCUCUAUGCUUUUGAGAAAACUGCUAUUACUCAAAAGUUUUUUUUUAAAGAAUAUUUUUUUAUUAUACUGAAAGUAAAUAGUUUCUCCAAAUGUUUGAGCAGACAAUUUGCAUCAUUGAGUAUAUUGAUUGUCUUACACAAUAAUUUUUGCUAAUUUUCAUAAAGAGUGCCAGUAAUUCCUGAGUUGAAUGUAUAAACUCUUCUUUGCAGACUGAACAGCUGUGAACUCACACAGAAGUGCUGUAAUAUUGUGGCCUCAGCUCUCCAGUCAUCAAACUCACCCCUGAGAGAUCUGGACCUCAGCUGCAAUAACCUGGGAGAUUCAGGAGUGGAGCUGCUCUGUGCUGGACUGAUGAGUCCAAACUGUAAACUGCAGAGACUGGGGCUGGGUUGGUGCAAUCUCACAGAGGGCUGCUGUGAUGUUCUGGCCUCAGUCCUGCAUUCUCCUCACUCAGAGCUGAGAGAUCUGGAGCUCAGAGACAACGAGCUGCAGGAUUCAGGAGUGAGAGCGCUCUCUGCUGGACUGGAGGACCCACACUGUAAACUGCAUAGAAUGGGGCUGUCAGGCUGUAGAGUCACACAGAGAGGCUGUGAUUCUCUGGCUUCAGCUCUGUGUUCAAACCCCUCACAUCUGAGAGAGCUGGACCUGAGAUACAAUCACCCAGGAGACUCAGGAGUGAGAGCGCUGUCUGCUGCUGAACUGGACACACUCACACUGCUGUAAGUACAGAGAGUUUCCACACUGCACCUCACACACACACACACACACACCUGAGAGAGCUGGACCUGAGAUACAAUCACCCAGGAGACUCAGGAGUGAGAGCGCUGUCUGCUGCUAAACUGGACACACUCACACUGCUUGUUGACCAUGGAGGAGAGAACAGGACCAAACCAGGACCCCGGAAAUGUGAGUGUGUAUGGACACAGAACACUUU